rnacentral:rRNA from 1 species
UACGUGAGGUGCGAGCGUUGUCCGGAAUUAUUGGGCGUAAAGGGCUCGUAGGCGGUUUGUCGCGUCGGGAGUGAAAACCAUGGGCUUAACUCAUGGCUUGCUUCCGAUACGGGCAGACUAGAGGCAUGCAGGGGAGAACGGAAUUCCUGGUGUAGCGGUGAAAUGCGCAGAUAUCAGGAGGAACACCGGUGGCGAAGGCGGUUCUCUGGGCAUGUCCUGACGCUGAGGAGCGAAAGUGUGGGGAGCGAACAGG